CGUUAUGGUGGUGGGAAUAAGCGUUCUCAGUUUGAUCGAAUCAGGUUGAAUUGAAUAAUCCUUGAAGUGACAAGAAGGAGCUGACUGAGCAAGUUUGCCUCAAGCCGGUGAAGGAAUCAGGGGAACAGAGCCCAGACUAUAAGAGGAAUAUUUUCACAUCCCUAAAUUUUUAUUUUAUUUUAUUAAUUUCAACCAGAUCUGAGAAUUUCUAAGUCAUGGAUCUAUGAAUAGUGUGUGUUGAGUCUCUGAGCAUCUCUAAUUUUUUUUUUUUCAUCAAAUGGUCUCUGUAGUGUCUCUAUGUUUUUGUGCAUCCAUGUAUGAAUAUGAUCUCUGCAAGCUCAUUAUUGUCCUGGGAAACCACCUAAAUUAUUGAUACCUUGCUUUCUACGUACAAUGUUACCAAGUUCUAUUUUCUAGAUUUCUGAUUUUGGGGUGGAGGGAGUGCUAAUAUAGUAAUUUUCAGGUAUUUUGUGUCUUUUGGGUAACUUUGUGAUAUGCAGUUGAUUUUAGGAAUUGAUUUAUGGUGGAAUGCACUGACAUAAGUUAUUGUUUUUGUUAAUGCAGAUGACGGAAAUUGACCCGAGUUCAAACUGAAACAAUAUGAUUAUUUUGGUUAUGAUACAACUGAAGUGGAGAAGGAUAGCUCAGUGGCUUCCUAAGGUGCAAUGCUACUUCAGAAUGCUUUAGUUCAGAAACCGGCAGAAUCAAAUGACAAUCUUGGGCCAAGAAAGAAAUCAUUAUCUGAUAUUGGGAACCUAUUGGUAUGCUUCAUUAUCCUUUUUGAACCCUGCUUUAUUUUUCUUAAAGAACUAAAAUGUUUUAUAGUGAGUACUUUGUUCUCUGCUCUAUUAAUUUUCUUACCCUUAUAUGGGACUGUUUGCGCUUCAGAAGUAUUUUUUUAAGGUACUUAUGACUCCUAAUUGCCAUUUUGUAUUCAAAAUAUACUCUAUUGCUUCCUGGGG